UGGCUUAGGCGAUUAGGUGCUGUUCUUGCAUGUGGAUUGGCAGUCUGAAGCUGCUCGAAUGAUAUUCAACAGUUGUUAUCCAAAUGCAGAGGCGGGGUUUCAAAUGGUUCAAGUAAGAACUCGCAAGAAGUGGUCAGAGGAAUUCUCAGCUCUUUGCAUGAGACAAGAUAUCCAAGCCCACGAGGGGGCAAUCUUAACGAUGAAAUUUAGCCCUGAUGGUCAGUACCUAGCAAGUGCGGGUGAAGAUGGUAUUGUGCGGGUGUGGCAAGUUGUGGAGUCUGAAAGAUCAGGGAAUUCUGACAUUCAUGAUGUAAAUCCUUCAUGUCUACUUCCGAGUAAAUAGUUUUUCUGAGUUAGUUCCUCUACAUGCGGACCAAGAGAAAAAAGAAAAUCAUCAAGUGUGAAGAAAAAUUCAGACUCGAUCUGUGUCAUUUUCCCUCAGAAAGUUUUUCAAAUCUUGGAUAAACCUAUCCAUGAGUUCCGUGGGCAUCGUGGUGAGGUCCUGGACCUCUCCUGGUCAAAGAAUAAGCAUAUUUAUCAUCCUCAGUUGAUAAGACAGUUCGCCUGUGGCAAGUCGGUUAUGACAAAUGCCAAAAAGUAUUUUCCCAUAAUAAUUAUGUAACAUGCGUUCAGUUUAAUCCAGUGGAUGAUGAUUACUUCAUAAGUGGUUCCAUAGAUGGAAAGUGCGUACAUGGGCAAUUCCUGAUUGUCAAGUUGCUGAUUGGAUUGAUGUCACAGAUAUUGUUACGGCUGUGUUACCGUCCUGAUGGAAAGGUUUGAUGGAGCUCUUCUUAAUCAUUUUAUUAGCGAUCAGUUUCAGGAUUUUCAGUUCAUUAAUCUUUUUCCUUCUACAGGUGCAGUUUUUGGCAGAAUGAAUGGCAAUUGCCGCUUCUAUGAUGCUUCAGGUAUGUAUUUGUUUUCCAGGUGUGUUUUGAAAAUUUGUUUUAUUGUUACUUUCGAAAAGCAUUUUUUUUGUUCACAUCUCUGUAAUGGUAUUCUAGGGUCUUGCGACUUCUA